rnacentral:rRNA from 1 species
UACGGAGGGAGCUAGCGUUGUUCGGAAUUACUGGGCGUAAAGCGCACGUAGGCGGCUACUCAAGUCAGGGGUGAAAGCCCGGGGCUCAACCCCGGAACUGCCCUUGAAACUAGGUAGCUAGAAUCUUGGAGAGGUCAGUGGAAUUCCGAGUGUAGAGGUGAAAUUCGUAGAUAUUCGGAAGAACACCAGCGGCGAAGGCGACUGACUGGACAAGUAUUGACGCUGAGGUGCGAAAGCGUGGGGAGCAAACAGG